AACGAACGCUGGCGGCGUGCCUAACACAUGCAAGUCGAACGGAGGCAGGGAGCUUGCUCCUUGCUUUAGUGGCGCACGGGUGAGUAAUGCGUAGAUAAUCUACCUGAGGGUCCGGGAUAACAUCUCGAAAGGGGUGCUAAUACCGGAUAAGCCCACGGAGUCUUCGGACUUUGCGGGAAAAGGGGGGGACCUUCGGGCCUUCUGUCCUCAGAUGAGUCUACGUACCAUUAGCUAGUUGGUGGGGUAAAGGCCUACCAAGGCGACGAUGGUUAGCUGGUCUGAGAGGAUGAUCAGCCACACUGGAACUGAGACACGGUCCAGACUCCUACGGGAGGCAGCAGUGGGGAAUUUUGCGCAAUGGGGGAAACCCUGACGCAGCAACGCCGCGUGAGUGAUGAAGGCCUUCGGGUCGUAAAGCUCUGUCAGAGGGAAAGAAAUGUACGAGGGUUAAUACCCCUUGUACUUGACGGUACCCUCAAAGGAAGCACCGGCUAACUCCGUGCCAGCAGCCGCGGUAAUACGGAGGGUGCGAGCGUUGUUUGGAUUUAUUGGGCGUAAAGCGCGUGUAGGCGGCUUCUUAAGUCUGAUGUGAAAGCCCUGGGCUCAACCCGGGAAGUGCAUUGGAAACUGGGAAACUUGAAUACGGGAGAGGGUAGUGGAAUUCCUGGUGUAGGAGUGAAAUCCGUAGAUAUCAGGAGGAACACCGGUGGCGAAGGCGGCUACCUGGACCGAUAUUGACGCUGAGACGCGAAAGCGUGGGGAGCAAACAGGAUUAGAUACCCUGGUAGUCCACGCCGUAAACGAUGAGUACUAGGUGUUGCGGGUAUUGACCCCUGCAGUGCCGCAGCUAACGCAUUAAGUACUCCGCCUGGGAAGUACGGU
rnacentral:rRNA from 1 species